GGUGGUUCAGUGGUAGAAUGCUUGCUUUGCAUGCAUGAGGACCUGGGUUCGAUUCCUCAGCACCA
rnacentral:tRNA from 1 species